rnacentral:lncRNA from 1 species
AUGGAUUUGAGUAAGUAUAUUUAUAAUUAUAAUUGCUAUGUGAUUUUUGGUAGUAUUGAGGAUAUUAAGACAUCAUACAUACUUAGAAAGAAAACAUUGGUCAAAGAAGAAGACCAUAUGAUUGAAAAAGAACACCAAAUAUCUACAGUAUAUUUAAGCACUCACCGUUCUAAUUCCGUACAUACAUUGUGGUUGCUCCCACUGGCAGAAAGCAGGGCAGAGGGAAUGAAAAUUAUUUUGUCUCUAAACUGAAACUAAACAGUUUGUCUUACCUCCAAUGUAUAGCUUAUCCUUGUUGGUAUAGCUCGUUAACCUUAUUCAUAAUCAAAAUCACAAUUGACUAAAAAUGGAGAGAGAAAUGAAGAUGAAGGAGGGUUGCUUUAAAAAAGGGAAUUAGAAAAACACAGCAGAAAGUGUCAAAAUGAACAGUUAAGAGUUUGAUUUAUCCAUGGUUAAAGGGCCUAUUAAAUUUAAUGAGUGUCUUGGUUACAAGCCAAGAAUUGGGUUGCCUUGAGCACUGUCUAAAAUCUUUGCCAAGUGAGUCGUUUUUAUACACAUUCAUCCAUAUAUGUGCAUUUAUAGAAUGGUUAAACCUGCCAAUGGUUCCCCAACCUACCUGUCAUCAUCAUCAUAAGGGGCACUGAGUGAUGUAGAUGGAACCAUCAGUAUACUGUUGGAAGGACACCAGGAGUCCCAUAUAAACCUCUCUGAUUCUAAUGGAAUAGUGAUACAUAACAUUUAUUCAAAGUUCUUGGGACCAGAAGUGUUUUGGGAUUUCAGAUUAUUUUAUUUUUGUCUUUUUGAAUACCUGCAUGAGAUAUCUUGGGGAUGGGACUCAUUUUGCCAGUCAUACAGAUUGAGCAUUCCUUCUUCCAGAAUUCCAAAAUCUGAAAUAUCUAAAAUAUUUAACUGUUCACAUGGACAACUCACUUAGUGACACCUUUGCUUUCUGAUGGUUCAAUACACUUUUGAAUGCACAUCAUUAUUACAAAUAUUGUUUAAAAUUACUUUCAGGCUAUGUAAAUAUAUAAAAGAUAAGUGAACAUCAUGUUUAGACUUGGGUCCCAUCUCCAAGAUAUCUAUAUAUACAAAUACAGGCAGUCCCUAAGUUACAACGAAGAUGGGUUAUGCAGCCUGCAGUGUUUGCUUUGCUGCCUGUGCCCCUGUUCAAAAGAUUUCACCUCACUUUCUGUCCUUGUAAUAAUUGGAUUUUGAAAAAUUUGGCUUGUUGUGGAAACAAGGAUUGAUGAUAAAGUUUCCUUUUCCCCGUGAUAACUCUUUCUAGAGUGACUUUCCCUUCCAAAGGGUAGAUUUAUCUCACUUCCUGUUGUCUCAGCCCCAUUCUUAACUAUGAGUUGUUUGUAAGUUGGAUGUUUGUAACUCAGGGACUGCCUGUAUAAGUAUUCCAAAAUCCAAAAAAUCUCUGAAAACCAAAAUACUACCUGCCCUAAGCAUUUUGUAUGAGGGAUACUCCACCUGUAAAGUAGACCCACUGAAUCAGUGGAACUUUGAUUUAGCAAGGUAUUACUUAUUCAAAUGACCCUACUCUAGCUUGAACUAACAAUAAGAUUUAGCCCAGAGUGGGAAUUAUAUGGUCUUCUAGGUGUUGAACUACAAUUACCAGCAGCCCUAGCUAGUGUAGCCAAAUGUAAGGAAUUCUGGAAGUUGCAGUUCCAUAAUGUCUGGUGGUUCCACUCCCGAUUUAGGUCAUUGAUGAUAACACAUUUGGAAGAAACACAAUUCUUUAAAAAUCCAGAAAAUGGAGUGAAGGAAAUAACUCCAAUUGGUCUAAUAUGGACCAUGCAUGUUCAGCAAGCAUGGAGUGAAAGCUACAGAGAAAGAAAAAUGGGGAAUUGAGGUAAAAAUGGCAUCUCCUAGAAAAUAUCAGGGCAUACCACACUAUUGCUUUUUUCUAUAGGUUUCUCUUACUAUGAUUGAAUAUUCUGAGUGUUUUGACCAUCUCACGCAGUACACCAGGGAAGUAGAAAUCAAGCAACUGUUUUGAAAGAAUGGAAGGCAAGAAAAGGCAAAGCUGAUGCAUUUCCAGUGUUUCACACCUCAGUCUAGAAGCUGUCUUGGUACAGGAAAGGAGAGAAGCAACCAACGUCAUGCCACUGCAAUUCCCUAACAAAGUAGCAAAAAAAUCAUUGAAGCAUCUAGAAUGUGUCAACUUGGGCAGAAGGGAAGCAAUCUGUCUCUUCCUCUUCCCGCAAACCAGUUGCUUGCUUUCCUAUUUCUUUGAGUAAGUCUGAGUAUUUUUUGAAUGUGGGGUUUGAAUUCUAUUAUUAUUCUCUUGCAGUUAUAUUUUAAGCACUCACCGCGCCUUUCUAUGGUAGAUAGUGACUCAUGUCCAGCUUCCUAAAUGGAAAGUAGAAUUUCUUUGUUUCUUCUCUCCUUCCUUCCUGUCUGCCUUCCUUUCUUCUUUCUUUCUCUCUCUCUCUUUCUUCAAAAUCCCCUUUAAAGACAAAGAAUAAGUGGCUUGCUUUUAAAUCCCUUCUCAACUCAGUAAUAAUACUCAAAUCCUCUAAUUUAAAGUCUUCCAUGAAAAACCAUAAUGUGAUUUGUCUGCAGCUUAGAAGAAAAUACAGGAAUUGUGUAAGAAUUUAUGUUGCAUUAUUUAUUUAGUCAAAUCUAAUGUGCUCAUGGAGAAUGAACAGAAUAAUGUGAUAGCUUUUUAGUGUGUUCCUAGCAAGUUAAAAUACAAGGCAACCUCCAAUCCUCAGAAAUACGUUCUGUGACCUUUGCAGAUGUCUAAAAAUGUGGAAGCAGAUAGCCCUACAUUUUCACUAUUAAUUGAACUGGGAGAAUACCAUAGCAUUCCUAAAGAGGACCACAAACGCCUUCUGGGGGGAAUAUUAUUUGGAGGGUGGGUUAGUGCAACCAUGAAUACAGAAUGGUGGUUCUCUAAUGUAGCUGGUUGCAGUUAGUUGAGUCUCCCUUUUCUGUAAAUCCAAACUCUCUUAGCGGGGGGUUGGACUAGAUGGCCCAUGAGGUCUCUUCCAACUCUACUAUUCUAUGACUCUAUGACUCUAUGACUCUAUGACUCUCAAAGACUCCCCAAAACAAAAACUUCCACCUUUGAGGAAAGAGGGCUAGUUACACAUCCAUUGGUUGCUGAGAUUUUUUCCCCCAGCAAGCUCUUGCUCUACCACUGGCAGAAAUAUGCUUGGGAAAAGUCGAAGCUUUCAAAUAUUCCCCAAGACCAUAGCAGUCAGAUUCAUUAGGACUUUUCCCUUUCUCGAUGUCUGCUUUCUACAAGGGCUUUCUGUAAGUCAGGCCAUAGGAACCUGGGUCCUUACUUCCACUCCUUUCCCCCUUCUAAUUUCUGACAGUGAUGGAGCAAGAGG